rnacentral:rRNA from 1 species
UUCCGGUUGAUCCUGCCGGAGGCCAUUGCUAUCGGUGUCCGAUUUAGCCAUGCGAGUCGCACGUAUAACGUGGCAAACGGCUCAGUAACACGUGGCCAAACUACCCAACAGACCGUGAUAACCUCGGGAAACUGAGGCUAAUAACGGAUAGUGCUCCCGAGCUGGAAUGCUGGGAGCGCCAAAGCUCCGGCGCUGUUGGAUGUGGCUGCGGCCGAUUAGGUAGACGGCGGGGUAACGGCCCACCGUGCCGAUAAUCGGUACGGGUUGUGAGAGCAAGAACCCGGAGACGGACUCUGAGACAAGAGUCCGGGCCCUACGGGGCGCAGCAGGCGCGAAACCUUUACACUGUACGCAAGUACGAUAGGGGGACACCGAGUGCGAGGGCAUAGAGCCCUCGCUUUUGUACACCGUAAGGUGGUGCACGAAUAAGGGCUGGGCAAGACCGGUGCCAGCCGCCGCGGUAACACCGGCAGCCCAAGUGAUGGCCGCUAUUAUUGGGCCUAAAGCGUCCGUAGCUGGCCGUUCAGGUCCGUCGGGAAAUCUGCACGCCCAACGUGCAGGCGUCCGGCGGAAACCGUUCGGCUUGGAACAGGGAGACCAGAGGGGUACGUCCGGGGUAGGAGUGAAAUCCCGUAAUCCUGGACGGACCAUCGGUGGCGAAAGCGCCUCUGGAGAACUGAUUCGACAGUGAGGGACGAAAGCUGGGGUCUCGAACCGGAUUAGAUACCCGGGUAGUCCCAGCCGUAAACGAUGCUCGCUAGGUGUGUCGCAGGCUACGAGCCUGCGAUGUGCCGUAGGGAAGCCGAGAAGCGAGCCGCCUGGGAAGUACGUCCGCAAGGAUGAAACUUAAAGGAAUUGGCGGGGGAGCACUACAACCGGAGGAGCCUGCGGUUUAAUUGGAUUCAACGCCGGG